rnacentral:rRNA from 1 species
GAUGAACGCUGGCGGCGUGCCUAAUACAUGCAAGUCGAGCGAACGGACGAGAAUUUUGCUUCUCUGAUGUUAGCGGCGGAGGGGUGAGUAACACGUGGAUAACCUACCUAUAAGACUGGUAUAAUUUCGGGAAACCGGAGCUAAUACCGGAUAAUAUUUUGAACCGCAUGGGUCAAAAGUGAAAGACGGUCUUGCUGUCACUUAUAGAUGGAUCCGCGCUGCAUUAGCUAGUUGGUAAGGUAACGGCUUACGAAGGCAACGAUGCAUAGCCGACCUGACGGAGGGGACGCCGACCUGGGAGGUGAGACGCGGUCCAGAGUCCUGCGGGAGGCAGCAGUAGGGAAUCUUCCGCAAUGGGCGAGAGCAUGACGGAGCGGCGCGGCGUCAGUGAUGACGGUGUCGGGUGCGGAAAACUGUGUUAUUAGGGGAAAACAGAUGUCGAAGUAACUGUGCAGAUCGUGACGGUACCUGGUCAAAAAGCCACGGCUAACUACGUG